AGAGUUUGAUCCUGGCUCAGGAUGAACGCUGGCGGCGUGCCUAAUACAUGCAAGUCGAGCGAACUGAUUAGAAGCUUGCUUCUAUGACGUUAGCGGCGGACGGGUGAGUAACACGUGGGCAACCUGCCUGUAAGACUGGGAUAACUUCGGGAAACCGAAGCUAAUACCGGAUAGGAUCUUCUCCUUCAUGGGAGAUGAUUGAAAGAUGGUUUCGGCUAUCACUUACAGAUGGGCCCGCGGUGCAUUAGCUAGUUGGUGAGGUAACGGCUCACCAAGGCAACGAUGCAUAGCAGACCUGAGAGGGUGAUCGGCCACACUGGGACUGAGACACGGCCCAGACUCCUACGGGAGGCAGCAGUAGGGAAUCUUCCGCAAUGGACGAAAGUCUGACGGAGCAACGCCGCGUGAGUGAUGAAGGCUUUCGGGUCGUAAAACUCUGUUGUUAGGGAAGAACAAGUACGAGAGUAACUGCUCGCACCUUGACGGUACCUAACCAGAAAGCCACGGCUAACUACGUGCCAGCAGCCGCGGUAAUACGUAGGUGGCAAGCGUUAUCCGGAAUUAUUGGGCGUAAAGCGCGCGCAGGCGG
rnacentral:rRNA from 1 species